rnacentral:rRNA from 1 species
GCCCAUGGCCAUGCCACCCUGAACAAGCCCGAUCCCAUUUGAUCUCAGAAGCUAAGUAGGAUCGGGCCUGGUUAGUACUUGGAUGGGAGCCCAUCUAGGAAGACCAGGUGUUGUAGGCA